AGGUGUUCGGAAUCGGCAUAUACACUCCGGUUCCUCCGCGCCGUCCGCACCCACCUGACGACUGCUCGCUACGUUUUGUUAGCC
rnacentral:sRNA from 1 species